rnacentral:rRNA from 1 species
GACGAACGCUGGCGGCGUGCUUAACACAUGCAAGUCGAACGGAAAGGCCCUGCUUUUGUGGGGUGCUCGAGUGGCGAACGGGUGAGUAACACGUGAGUAACCUGCCCUUGACUUUGGGAUAACUUCAGGAAACUGGGGCUAAUACCGGAUAGGAGCUCCUGCUGCAUGGUGGGGGAUGGAAAGUUUCGGCGGUUGGGGAUGGACUCGCGGCUUAUCAGCUUGUUGGUGGGGUAGUGGCUUACCAAGGCUUUGACGGGUAGCCGGCCUGAGAGGGGGACCGGCCACAUUGGGACUGAGAUACGGCCCAGACUCCUACGGGAGGCAGCAGUGGGGAAUAUUGCACAAUGGGCGGAAGCCUGAUGCAGCAACGCCGCGUGCGGGAUGACGGCCUUCGGGUUGUAAACCGCUUUCGCCUGUGACGAAGCGUGAGUGACGGUAAUGGGUAAAGAAGCACCGGCUAACUACGUG